UACGUAGGGGGCAAGCGUUGUCCGGAUUUAUUGGGCGUAAAGCGCGUGUAGGCGGCCAGGUAGGUCCGCUGUGAAAACCCGAGGCUCAACCUCGGGACGUCGGCGGAAACCAUCUGGCUAGAGUCCGGAAGAGGAGAGUGGAAUUCCUGGUGUAGCGGUGAAAUGCGCAGAUAUCAGGAAGAACACCCGUGGCGAAAGCGGCUCUCUGGAACGGUACUGACGCUGAGACGCGAAAGCGUGGGGAGCGAACAGG
rnacentral:rRNA from 1 species